GCCCGGGUAGCUCAGUCGGUAGAGCACGUCCUUGGUAAGGACGGGGUCGUCGGUUCGAGUCCGAUCCCGGGCU
rnacentral:tRNA from 1 species